rnacentral:rRNA from 1 species
UACGGGGGGGGCAAGCGUUGUUCGGAAUUACUGGGCGUAAAGGGCUCGUAGGUGGCCAACUAAGUCAACCGUGAAAUCCCUCGGCUUAACCGGGGAACUGCGUUUGAUACUGGAUGGCUUGAGUUUGGGAGAGGGAUGCGGAAUUCCAGGUGUAGCGGUGAAAUGCGUAGAUAUCUGGAGGAACACCGGUGGCGAAGGCGGCAUCCUGGACCAACACUGACGCUGAGGAGCGAAAGCCAGGGGAGCAAACGGG